rnacentral:rRNA from 1 species
AUUGAACGCUGGCGGCAGGCCUAACACAUGCAAGUCGAGCGAGCGGCGGACGGGUGAGUAAUGUCUGGGAAACUGCCCGAUGGAGGGGGAUAACUACUGGAAACGGGAGCUAAUACCGCAUACUAUCAGAUGAGCCGAGAUGGGAUUAGCUAGUAGGUGGGGUAAGGGCUUACCUAGGCGACGAUCCCUAGCUGGUCUGAGAGGAUGAGCAGCCACACUGGAACUGAGACACGUUCCAGACUCCUACGGGAGGCAGCAGUGGGGAAUAUUGCACAAUGGGCGCAAGCCUGAUGCAGCCAUGCCGCGUGUGUGAAGAAGGCCUUCGGGUUGUAAAGCACUUUCAGUGGGGAGGCGUUACCCGCAGAAUAAGCACCGGCUAACUCCGUGCCAGCAGCCGCGGUAAUAC